rnacentral:rRNA from 1 species
GAUGAACGCUGGCGGCGUGCCUAAUACAUGCAAGUCGAGCGAACGGACGAGAAGCUUGCUUCUCUGAUGUUAGCGGCGGACGGGUGAGUAACACGUGGAUAACCUACCUAUAAGACUGGGAUAACUUCGGGAAACCGGAGCUAAUACCGGAUAAUAUUUUGAACCGCAUGGUUCAAAAGUGAAGGACGGUCUUGCUGCCACUUAUAGAUGGAUCCGCGCUGCAUUAGCUAGUUGGCAAGGUAACGGCUUACCAAGGCAACGAUGCAUAGCCGACCUGAGAGGGUGAUCGGCCACACUGGAACUGAGACACGGUCCAGACUCCUACGGGAGGCAGCAGUAGGGAAUCCUCCGCAAUGGGCGAAAGCCUGACGGAGCAACGCCGCGUGAGUGAUGAAGGUCUUCGGAUCGUAAAACUCUGUUAUUAGGGAAGAACAUAUGUGUAAGUAACUGUGCACAUCUUGACGGUACCUAAUCAGAAAGCCACGGCUAACUACGUG